rnacentral:pre_miRNA from 1 species
UUCACCUGGGGUCUUAUUGAAAUGAAGAUUCUGAUUCAGUAGGCAUGGGAUGAGCCUGAGAUUCUGCAUUUCUAACAAGCUCUCAAGUGAUGCUGA